UACGUAGGGUGCAAGCGUUGUCCGGAAUUAUUGGGCGUAAAGAGCUCGUAGGCGGUUCGUCGCGUCGGCUGUGAAAUCCCGAGGCUCAACCUCGGGUCUGCAGUCGAUACGGGCGGACUGGAGUUCGGCAGGGGAGACUGGAAUUCCUGGUGUAGCGGUGAAAUGCGCAGAUAUCAGGAAGAACACCGACGGCGAAGGCAGCUCGCUGGGACGGUACUGACGCUGAGGCGCGAAAGCGUGGGGAGCGAACAGG
rnacentral:rRNA from 1 species